GCAGAGGGAGAGAGCGAGUGACAGAAUGAGACACAGGCAGAGGGAGAGAGCGAGAGAGAGAAUGAGACACAGGUAGAGGGAGAGCGAGAGAGAGAAUGAGACACAGGCAGAGGGAGAGAGCGAGUGACAGAAUGAGACACAUGCAGAGGGAGAGAGCGAGAGACAGAAUGAGACACAGGCAGAGGGAGAGAGACAGAGAGAGACAGAAUGAGACACAUGCAGAGGGAGAGAGAGAGAGAGCGACAGAAUGAGACACAUGCAGAGGGAGAGAGAGAGAGAGAGAGCGACAGAAUGAGACACAGGCAGAGGGAGAGAGAGAGAGAGAGAGCGACAGAAUGAGACACAUGCAGAGGGAGAGAGAGAGAGACAGAAUGAGACACAGGUAGAGGGAGAGAGCGAGUGACAGAAUGAGA
ensembl:lncRNA